rnacentral:pre_miRNA from 1 species
UGUUAAAAAAAUUCGUCCAUUUAUAUUGUUAAAAAUUGGCAUGGCUAACAGAAUAAUUAGAUAGUUACAUGUGACGUGCCACAUGUACCUAUUGCUAAUAUACAACAAUACCUCUUGCUAAUAUACAACAAUCAAUUUUGAAAUGUAGAAUGAAUGAAAUUUUUAACA